UCUCCGCCUCCCUUUCUUCCUCAGUCCCCUCACCCUCUCUGCUAUAAACCCUUCCUUAAUAGCAAAGAUCAAGAUCUCCUUUUGUCUCUCUGUAUUUAUCUCACUUAAUUUCAGUCAAAAUCAUGUUUUCCAUCAGUACUACCAAUUAAUCUCCAUCUCUAUGCGAAGAUAGCUCAUUAUAAUUAGACUUGUUUGAGAGAAGCAGUGUAACUUAAUUUUGUUCUUGCUGUAAUUUUUUUUUCAUUAUUUGUAUUUUCAGGGUUUUGAAGAUCAUUACUAAAAAAUGAACAGAGGAAUUAAUGAUAAGAGGAAGUGGUGGUGGUAUUGUUAAGUGAUCUCAUUUGCAUGAGGGUCUUAAGAGUCUUUUUUAAGGAGAUAUCAUUAACACGAACUCAAGUUUGUCAAUAUCGGAGGAAGGCACCGGAUCUGGAAUGACUACUCUAUUAAUCUCAACAUCAGAUCUAAAAUACAGACUAAAUGAUAUAAAGUCGCAGCAGUAUGAAUGUCUUAGUUGUUUGAAGCUUAUCCGGUGGUAUUUUAAGCUGCAACAAUUGUCUUUUUAUUUUUUUAUUUUUUUUUGUUGUAAUUUUUAUUGUAAUUUUUAUACCUAAAUGAUUAUAUAAAUUUAUUA